rnacentral:misc_RNA from 1 species
GAGUUCUUCAUCUUCUGCCUUGUAUUUGAUUUUGUGGAGUCUCUUUUGUGAAAUGGUAAACAUGAAUUAGACGAUCGUGGGGACCAAGGUUUUUCUCCUCUUCUGGUAUUUCCUCUGCCCGCAAUGUCCAAUAUUGGUCAUUUAUAUUCUCAAUCUUUUCACUGAGCGGAAAGAUCUUAUAAAUCUUGUGAUAGAAGACCUCGAGUAAUCUGAGCUCUGCAUUUGGAUGGGACAACUCUACCUUUGAUUUGAUUUCCUCAAGUACAUCCCCCACUGUACUCUGCUUAGGCAAUCUUACAUUCAGAAUUUCAAUCUCAUCCUUCGUAGAAUGAUGGAAGGCAACUUUGAGCGUCUUCAGACAUUGUAAUUCUGGCAGAGGUAUGUCCAGAACUUCAUAAUACAGAAUAUCGGAGAUCUGAUUGUAAUGGAUAAGCAUGUCUACCAAAUGAUCCACAGACCGAUAUUUGAUGGGGUUGGGCUUGGGUUGCUGUGAGUAGCAGUUGUGAGGAGUAAGCCUAAUUUUGGAGGAAUCAUCCACACCAAGCCUCUGAGCCACUCUAUCCACUACUUCAUCAUAUGUAUCACUUUUUGCUAACUCCAGACAAAAAUCAUCCUCCUUCGGUUUUUCCAGUGCUCUGAAGUGGACAAGCUGGCGAUUUUUGACAUACUCCAUAUAUGAAGGAACAUCUGGAAAUCGGACUUGUUCUUCAACUUCAGGAGAAGUUUUCUUCUGAAAGCAUAUAAUAUCCCCAUCUUCAAUCUGGCUAAAUCGAAAUGAAGCCUUUCUGUCUAGUCUUUCACACAUGACAGAAGGUUCAAACUUUAUUUCCUCAAAAAGUUCAAUUUCUUGGUCAGGAGCAAAUCCAGCCAAUUCAUUAAGUUUUGGAAGUAUCUCAACUGGCUUACUAGUACUCUUCACGAAAAGCCUACCAACAUAACGGAGCUCUUCUUUCUCAGGAUCAUAAAGCUUAAAGAAAAGGAGUAUAUCAUCCUUGCUUUUGUCAGGUGGAGGACCAGGAAUGAAAUCCAGGCCAUAGUCCACUUCCAAAAAUAAUUUUAACUCAGCGUUGUUGUUCUUGUUAGAAACUUCCCUUAACUGACAAACUGUUUGUAGUUCCUCAUGCGGAGUUAAUGGGCGAUUGGGCCGGUAAGUGUGAUUUUGCCGCUUUGCCCAAAUCCAGAAACGCUGGAAUUGAACUGGUAUACCCAAUUCUUUUGCAACCUCCUCCUUGAAAAGGUUAAAUGGCAGCUGUUUCUGGAUUCGAAAGCUACGAACUUUGUCAUGAUCAACAAGAUCAAAAUAUAUCUCCUUACCAAUCUGUUCUCUAAGAUCCUCAUCCCGUGCAACCUUGAUGAUUGUAUACAGGUGGGCCUGUGCUUUGUAUCGUCUCUUGUCCUCCUUUUCUUCUUGUUCUUUCUUCAACCUUAUCCUUAAGUGUUCCGCGAUGUCCUUCUCACCAACAUCACAGAUUAUUUUAUCCUUGUCACUCUCACGUAUAUAAACAAGCAUGUAAGCAUUGGAAUAUUUAGUAAACUUGAAGGGAGUGUUAUUGAAGCCGGGAUUUGUCUGUGGCAACUCCUCUUCUCCACCAUAUUGUUCCUCUAGAGCCCUCUUAUUGUCUUCUUUUGUCACCCGUUCAUCAUCA